rnacentral:lncRNA from 1 species
AAGCAUGUCACUUCUGGAGGAGGGCCUGGAAUAGAUAAAGGGGAAAAUAACUUCCCUGUCCUGCCUGAUGGGUGUUUGGCAGCGAAGAAGGAGGUUGGAGGAAAUCAGAAGUGUUUCAGCCCCUUGAAGCUUUCUGGUACCUGGAAGCCUCCUCACUUCCACCUAGCGUCUUUCACCACUGCCCAUAGCCACCUGAAGUUCACGUAUGUUACAAUAUCAGGCGUGAGCUGUGCUCCAGCACGCGCUGACGGGAAUAGUCCGAGAAGACUGGCUACAGAAGGCAUUACCUGCCACGUAAGGUAUCUGUGUGACCUUCCUUUCUGAAGAGUGGCUUUUUUUCUUCAACAUUCAUUAUUUCCGAGAGCCCGUGGGCUCGGCAGCAAAUUGCAGUGAUGUUUCAGGAUUGACUGCUUGAAUGUUCUGUUUUUCAGUUUUAGCUGCUAGGGAGGAUUUCAGCAGGUUUUCAGCUAGGUUAGCUGGGCAUCACCGCGCUUCUCUUCUGCAGUGGUCAGGCAGCCCAGCUGAGCUGAUGUUACGUGGUGCCCAACCUUCUUUCAGGUGUCAGCAGAAGCACUGACAACAUCCAAAGAAAUAAGCGCAGACUUGUAUGCCAGAGGAUGGCUCCAGAAAUGGCUUGGUGUUUUAUUAACACAUCAGAAGGCUAUUGCCGUGGAUUUGUUGGUUCUCUGGAUAUACAAAAACUGCUAGAAGAGCCUCUCUGAGGCACCAUCAGAAAACCAGCUCCGUGUGAAAGCAUCUUCGUGGAGAAAGUCUGUCAGCUGCUCAGUAUGGCUUGUUUUCAAAUCUUCUUGAGAACGAACGUUGUUGCUUUUAAUCUACAAGUGGAUGCGGGGUUUAAUAGAGGCUUAAUGCCUGAAUGGCUUGCAGUCUUGUUCAGUCAGCUGUUGAGACGUAAGUAGGAGUAACAGGGAAUUGCAGAGGAGGUGUCCACGUGCAAACCUUGUAAAUCACUGUUUUG